GAUGAACGCUGGCGGCGUGCCUAAUACAUGCAAGUCGAGCGAACAGACGAGGAGCUUUCUCCUCUGACGUUAGCGGCGGACGGGCGAGUAACACGUGGAUAACCUACCUAUAAGACUGGGAUAACUUCGGGAAACCGGAGCUAAUACCGGAUAAUAUAUUGAACCGCAUGGUUCAAUAGUGAAAGACGGUUUUGCUGUCACUUAUAGAUGGUUCCGCGCUGCAUUAGCUAGUUGGUAAGGUAACGGCUUACAAAGGCAACGAUGCGUAGCCGACAUGAGAGGGUGAUCGGCCACACUGAAACUGAGCCACGUUCCAAACUCCUAGGGGAGGCAGCAGUAGGAAAUCUUCCGCAAUGGGCGAAAGCCUGACGAGGCAACGCCGCGUGAGUGAUGAAGGUCUUCGGAUCGUAAACCUCUGUUAUUAGGGAAGAACAAAUGUGUAAGUAACUAUGCACGUCUUGACGGUACCUAAUCAGAAAGCCACGGCUAACUACGU
rnacentral:rRNA from 1 species